UACGUAGGCAGCGAGCGUUGUUCGGAGUUACUGGGCGUAAAGGGUGUGUAGGCGGUUGUUUAAGUUUGGUGUGAAAUCUCCCGGCUCAACUGGGAGGGUGCGCCGAAUACUGAAUGACUUGGAGUGCGGGGAGAGGAGAGUGGAAUUCCCGGUGUAGCGGUGAAAUGCGCAGAGAUCGGGAGGAACACCAAUGGCGAAAGCAGGUACCUGGACCUAUUACUGACACUCAGCUGCGAAAGCUAGGGGAGCAACAGG
rnacentral:rRNA from 1 species